GUGUUCUAGGUCUUCAAGCUGUUGAUCUCGUGUGCAGCAGUUGGUUGUUGAGUCCAGUGGUCAAUGGACGUUGGAACGGCAAUUUCUUCGCGCUCCUCACUUCGCUGUCACCACCGACAGUGCAGCUCAGAAACGCUCAGGCUCUGUGGCCCCAGGGCCUUGUCUAUCCAGCCCAGAAUUUGAAUAGUUCCUGUCUUCUACUUCUCCUAGGUUAAGUCUAGCCACUCCUCUGCCUUAAGAUAUGCAGUAUCAUAAGGGUUCCAGUAGGACAGUAUUCUCUUCACCUUUUGCGUUUUGCUUCCACAUACUCUUCCCAUGACACUGAGAGCCUACAAGAGUUGCUGGGAAGCUUGGGCCCUGUCAAAGGCAGGAGAGGGCUAUUUGCACACUGUCCUACAAAUCUACAG